rfam:Ovis aries breed Texel chromosome 6, whole genome shotgun sequence.
UCCCUGGUGGCUCAGACGGUAAAGCGUCUGCCUGCAAUGCAGGAGACCUGGGUUUGAUUCCUGGGUCGGGAA